GGAUGAACUUGCAACAACAACAACAUCACCAAAGUUACUCUUCUUCUUCUUCUUCACUUAAUCACUCACCAUCUGGAUUCAUUAACCACUUUCAUAUGCCAAUUGUAGCUGCUCCUGGAAUUGAUGUCAAUUCUGCAAUUUCAAGAACUUUCAGUUGUCCACCUGUUCUAGUAGACCCCAAACUCAAUCACUCUCCUUCACUUGGGAAAGAUAAUUGUUCUAACAAGAGGAAACCUGAAAAGGCACAUAAUCCUAAGCUCAAGAUUGUUGAUGAAAAUGACAACAAAGACAAAAAAAGGAUCAAAGUUGGUGUUGAGGACGGUGAAUCAAAAAUAACGAGGCAAGCCAGCGGCAAAUUAAAGAACACAAAUAACAAAAAAGAAAAGUGUGAUACUUCAAAUUCAAAAGCUUCUGAGGUUCAAAAUGAAAAACCUGAUUACAUUCAUGUUCGAGCACGUCGUGGACAAGCCACCGAUAGCCAUAGCUUAGCAGAAAGAGUUAGAAGGGAAAAGAUUAGCGAGAGAAUGAAGUAUUUACAAGAUUUAGUACCUGGAUGCAAUAAAAUUACAGGAAAAGCUGGAAUGCUUGAUGAAAUCAUCAACUAUGUUCAGUCUCUUCAACGACAAGUUGAGUUCUUGUCAAUGAAAUUAGCUACUGUCAAUCCAAGGCAUGACUUCAAUAUUGAUGAUCUCUUUGAAAAAGAGGUGUUUCCUAAUUGUGAUGCAAAUGCAACUUUUUCAGCUAUGGGAAUAUCAUCAGAAUUGAAUAGCAUUAAUCCUUAUGUUCAGUUCAAUUCACCACAGCAAUUUGUUUCUUAUGGUGGAUUAGAUAAUACUGGGAUGAACCCUUCAGAUAUGGGACUUAGAAGGACCAUAAGUGCCCCUGUAUCUUUACCUGAAACUUUUAUUGAUUCUUCUUGUUUUUCCGUAGCAAAUUCUACCUUCCACAACAUGGGAAGGUGAUUUCCAAAACCUUUACAACAACUUGAGUUUUGAUCAAGCAAGAGCAACAUCAUUUUCUUCUCAAUCUCAGUUAUUCACAGGUCUAGGUGAAGCUAGCAAUUUAAAGAUGGAGAUGUAGACCAGAAAAUCUGUGACCAUUCAUUGGAUUAAUCAGCUUCAUUCCUCCAAAAUGCCUCUUAUCAAGAUUCUUUUUUCUUUUCAAGUACAUAGUCAGCCUAUAUAUUAAUUGUUUGUAACUUUGUAUACUACUACAUAAUAUUAAUAAAAUCAUAUAAUUAAUACCUGUUAACUUCAGUCA